GUCCAGACUCCUACGGGAGGCAGCAGUGAGGAAUAUUGGUCAAUGGGUGGGAGCCUGAACCAGCCAAGUCGCGUGAGGGAAGACGGUCCUACGGAUUGUAAACCUCUUUUGCCGGGGAGCAACGGGGUCCUUGCGAGGGCCCGAUGAGAGUACCCGGAGAAAAAGCAUCGGCUAACUCCGUGCCAGCAGCCGCGGUAAUACGGAGGAUGCGAGCGUUAUCCGGAUUUAUUGGGUUUAAAGGGUGCGUAGGCGGGCUGUUAAGUCAGCGGUAAAAUGUCGGGGCUCAACCCCGGCCUGCCGUUGAAACUGGGGAUCUAGAGUGUGCGAGAGGUAUGCGGAAUGCGUGGUGUAGCGGUGAAAUGCAUAGAUAUCACGCAGAACCCCGAUUGCGAAGGCAGCAUACCGGUGCACAACUGACGCUCAGGCACGAAAGCGUGGGUAUCGAACAGGAUUAGAUACCCGAGUA
rnacentral:rRNA from 1 species